rnacentral:rRNA from 1 species
AUUGAACGCUGGCGGCAGGACUAACACAUGCAAGUCGAACGAGUGGCGGACGGGUGAGUAAUGUCUGGGAAACUGCCUGAUGGGGGGGGAUAACUACUGGAAACGGUAGCUAAUACCGCAUACACUCCGGUGUGCCCAGAUGGGAUUAGCUUGUGGGUGGGGUAACGGCUCACCAAGGCGACGAUCCCUAGCUGGUCUGAGAGGAUGACCAGCAACAAUGGAACUUGGACACGGGCCAGACUCCUACGUGAGGCAGCAGUUGGGAAUAGUGCACAAUGGGGGCAAGCCUGAUGCAGCCAUGCCGCGUGUAUGAAGAAGGCCUUCGGGUUGUAAAGUACUUUCAGCGGGGAGGCGUUACCCGCAGAAUAAGCACCGGCUAACUCCGUUCCAGCCGCCGCGGUAAUUC